rnacentral:rRNA from 1 species
GACGAACGCUGGCGGCGUGCCUAAUACAUGCAAGUAGAACGCUGAAGAGAGGAGCUUGCUCUUCUUGGAUGAGUUGCGAACGGGUGAGUAACGCGUAGGUAACCUGCCUUGUAGCGGGGGAUAACUAUUGGAAACGAUAGCUAAUACCGCAUAACAAUGGAUGACACAUGUCAUUUAUUUGAAAGGGGCAAUUGCUCCACUACAAGAUGGACCUGCGUUGUAUUAGCUAGUAGGUGAGGUAAUGGCUCACCUAGGCGACGAUACAUAGCCGACCUGAGAGGGUGAUCGGCCACACUGGGACUGGGACACGGCCCAGACCCCUACGGGAAGGAGCAGGAGGGGAUCUUCGGCAAAGGGGGCAACCCUGACCGAGGAACGCCGCGGGAGUGAAGAAGGGUUUCGGAUCGUAAAGCUCUGUUGUAAGUCAAGAACGGGUGUGAGAGGGGAAAGUUCACACUGUGACGGUAGCUUACCAGAAAGGGACGGCUAACUACGUG